rnacentral:snoRNA from 1 species
ACGGCAUGAUGGGGACAUUUUCGAAUGAGGUCCUUUAAUCUUUCCCAUGAUUCAUGGAACUGCUCACCAUCUUGCUGUGAAAAACUAGUGAGAGUUCGUCUUAUCU